rnacentral:rRNA from 1 species
UACAGAGGUGGCAAGCGUUGUUCGGAAUUACUGGGCGUAAAGGGCGCGUAGGCGGCCUUCUAAGUCAGACGUGAAAUCCCCCGGCUUAACCUGGGAACUGCGUCUGAUACUGGGAGGCUCGAGUAUGGGAGAGGGAUGUAGAAUUCCAGGUGUAGCGGUGAAAUGCGUAGAUAUCUGGAGGAAUACCGGUGGCGAAGGCGGCAUCCUGGACCAUUACUGACGCUGAGGCGCGAAAGCUAGGGGAGCAAACGGGG